rnacentral:rRNA from 1 species
AUUGAACGCUGGCGGAAGGCUUAACACAUGCAAGUCGAGCGAGCGGCGGACGGGUGAGUAAUGUCUGGGAAACUGCCUGAUGGAGGGGGAUAACUAGUGGAAACGGUAGCUAAUACGGCAUACCAUCAGAUGUGGCCAGAUGGGAUUAGCUAGGAGGUGGGGUAAUGGCUCACCUAGGAGACGAUCCCCAGCUGGUCUGAGAGGAUGACCAGCCACACUGGAACGUAGACACGGUCCAGCCUCCUACGGGAGGCAGCAGUGGGGAAUAUUGCACAAUGGGCGCAAGCCUGAUGCAGCCAUGCCGCGUGUGUGAAGAAAGCCUUCGGGUUGUAAAGCACUUUCAGCGAGGAGGCGUUACUCGCAGAAGAAGCACCGGCUAACUCCGUGCCAGCAGCCGCGGUAAUUC